CAUCAUGCCCGAUACAUCUCUUCGGUCACCACGCCAGUACCUUUCUUUCGAGUCUAUGCAGCCCAGUGUCCGUCUGUCUUAUCGUGGGCAUGACGUGCAUGACGUGGUCUCAUAGUACACAAAUCUCAAUGUAAAAAUGUGUCCCAUUACUAAAGGGGUUAAGGACCAUUCAUAGAAGCAAGCUGCGGCCGUGUUCACAAACAAACGGUGAUACCAGAUCCUGUUCCAAUACAUAAGCAAGGAGGGUGAGUGGCAGGCACGGUGACCUCAGAAGCGAGGAGACUGCGGGCAAACGAGCAGGAGUUGACGAUCCAAAGGACUGACUCCACAGCGGUAAUGAGCCUCGUGUACCAUGCACUACGCCUUCACUGAGAACGCCAACUACGAACACCUCUGCCUUCGCCGCAAGAUCAGGGAAGGACUCUCUGCCUUGCAUCGCGCACUGUAGUGGGGCUGCUGCUGCUGCUGCUUAAGGGAGACUGGUUGGCUGAGUGGAUGACAGUGAGGCAUGUGUGUUGCGUAGUGGCGGAUUGGCGACGAGAACCAGCAGAUGACAUCAGGGAAGAUACAACUAACCAGCUCCGGCGGCCCUCUCCCCCCUGGCCGCUGCUACCGCUACUCGGCGGAUGGGUUCCGCCUCGUAUUGGGCCUUCACUGCCGUCCCGCUAACACGUGCUGCUGUCGCCGAUACUGGCACUGAGGGACUUCUCGCAGCGGCCUGGCAAACACCCAUCAUCACCACUACCGCCGCCGUCGUCCAGUGAGAUUCAUCGUAGACAUCCUGCCAUUCAACGCCUGCCACCACCACCACCUCCACCUCCGUAUGGUGUUGUCACUGUACUUGGACCUGUUGUCACUGUACAGUACUUGGAGCUGUUGUCAUGAUUGAAUAAUAAAUUGUGAAGAAAU